rnacentral:lncRNA from 1 species
CAUCUCUGCUAUUGUGGAUGCCACCAAUCAAGCUAGGUCACAUUCCUGUCUUUACAGAUUGUGUGACAGGAAGGCCAGCUCUUCCCGUGACCAGGGAGGAGUGGAAAGAUCUAGAAGGGAGGGUCCUGGGAUGUGGCUCUGGCCCCUCUGCAGGAAGCAUCAAGGGUACUGGCAGCAGGGGACACACUGUCUUUUUUACUACAGCAUCCACAGAAUCUAGCUCAGAGUCUGGCACAAAGCAGGGACUCGAUGUAGUUCAUUGAACAAAAAGUGAAUGGUAGAUGGGAGUAAAAGGGCUUCAAAGAAUACAACUAGCUAACCAAAAGGUCAUAGGUUAACAAUCCCUAAUAUGCAGGGCCAACAGGGAAUGUCACACCUUAAUUCUUGAUAAUAAUUAUUAACUGCUAUUCAUUAAGCACUUAUUACGCUCAAUGCAUUUGUUGAGCACUGUGGUGAGCAAAUUAUAUAUAUAACCUCUUUUAAUCCUCCCAAAACUCUUGAGAGAGGUAUUAUUUCCUGUUACAGACAGAUAUUGAAUCACACGGAUCCAUCACACUAAUCACCUCCCUUGCCACCCAUCAGCUUCCAUCUCCCACCUGCGUCUCUCCACGUGGCCUUUGGAUGCCUCUCCCAACUCUCCUUUGGUUUGUAGUGGCAAGAAAAGGAGCCUUCUUCCUCUACAGCCGUCUAUCUGACAAAAAUCAGUUCUCUUGGAAACAGAGAUGGAGGACAUUGGGCCGGAACAAAAUGGCCAGUAGCUUUCUCUUCAGGUGCGUCCCCAAUUCUUGGGUGAGCUGUUCUUCGUGGAGGCCAGAUGCAUCGUUCCUUUCGCCUCAUCCCAGUCCUGCAGGAGACUUGUUUUGGCCAAUAGAGUAUGGCAGAAGCAACACUGUGGCAGUUCUGAGCCUUGGCCUCAACUUGGAACCUACCAUGCCAUGAGAGCAAGCCUGGGUCAGCCUGCCAGAGGAUGAGAGGCCAUGUGGAGGAGAGACAAACUGUCCCAGCUGAGGUCAUCCUGGACCAGCCAGCUCCCCGACUGACCCACCAGCUGACCAGAGAUGCAUAAGGAACGCCAGCUGAGAUCAGCCCAGACAAGCCCAGCUCAGCAGAACUGCCAACAAACCCACAGACCCAUG